rnacentral:rRNA from 1 species
AGCUAUAAUGCAGUCGAGCGAUGGAUUGAGAGCUUGCUCUCAAGAAGUUAGCGGCGGACGGGUGAGUAACACGUGGGUAACCUGCCCAUAAGACUGGGAUAACUCCGGGAAACCGGGGCUAAUACCGGAUAAUAUUUUGAACUGCAUGGUUCGAAAUUGAAAGGCGGCUUCGGCUGUCACUUAUGGAUGGACCCGCGUCGCAUUAGCUAGUUGGUGAGGUAACGGCUCACCAAGGCAACGAUGCGUAGCCGACCUGAGAGGGUGAUCGGCCACACUGGGACUGAGACACGGCCCAGACUCCUACGGGAGGCAGCAGUAGGGAAUCUUCCGCAAUGGACGAAAGUCUGACGGAGCAACGCCGCGUGAGUGAUGAAGGCUUUCGGGUCGUAAAACUCUGUUGUUAGGGAAGAACAAGUGCUAGUUGAAUAAGCUGGCACCUUGACGGUACCUAACCAGAAAGCCACGGCUAACUACGUGCCAGCAGCCGCGGUAAUACGUAGGUGGCAAGCGUUAUCCGGAAUUAUUGGGCGUAAAGCGCGCGCAGGUGGUUUCUUAAGUCUGAUGUGAAAGCCCACGGCUCAACCGUGGAGGGUCAUUGGAAACUGGGAGACUUGAGUGCAGAAGAGGAAAGUGGAAUUCCAUGUGUAGCGGUGAAAUGCGUAGAGAUAUGGA